UACGGAGGGGGCGAGCGUUAUUCGGAAUUAUUGGGCGUAAAGGGCGCGUAGGCGGCUGUACAAGUCAAAGGUGAAAUCCCUCGGCUCAACUGAGGAACUGCCUUUGAAACUGUACGGCUUGAGGCCGGGAGGGGGUAGCGGAAUUCCCAGUGUAGCGGUGAAAUGCGUAGAUACUGGGAGGAACACCAGUGGCGAAGGCGGCUACCCUGGACCGGUUCUGACGCUGAGGCGCGAAAGCGUGGGGAGCGAACAGG
rnacentral:rRNA from 1 species